rnacentral:lncRNA from 1 species
AUGCAUGACUAUGUCACAUAUAGAGAUGUUCAAGUUCAAACAGAAACCCAUUUGUUGCAUAAGGGUGGAUACAGCAAGGAUCUUAAUCUAGAGGGUGACAGUGUCAGACUACUUCAGAUGUAUAAUGAGCUACAGAAACGUUAUGUUAAAGAAAUCAAAACAAACCAGGAGCAAAGUGAAGAAAUUAAAAAUCUUACUAUUAAAAUUCAUGAGCUAGAGCAUAAUCUUCGAGAACAGAGGCAGAGAAUUGAGCAAUUGGAAUCUAAAAAGGUUUCCUGGAAAACUAGUGCUGCUUCUGGAAAAAGAAGUCGAGCCCCAGAGGGAGAAGUAACAUCUUGCAGGAACGUGUCUAAAAAGAAGGAAUCCUGUUGCAGUGAAUAUUUAGGAGUUUUUUGAAGAGGUGGAAGAUCUAAAGCGUGCUGUACAGGAAUCUGUGAAACUGAAUAAUCAGUAUGAAAAGUGCUUGAAACAAAUAAGUGUAAUGUAUGGACUUCCUUUUACAUCACAUUUGUAACUACUGAUUAAUUUAAAGGCAAGUAGGUUUUCUACAUAACUUUUUUUGGUACUUACUACAACAUUUAAACCUACCACGACUCUGUAGUACCACAUUUUGAUAAUAUUAUGGAUCUCAAUAUGACAAGCUGCUCUGAAAUGCUUUUGUAUUUUGUGCCUUUGAUUUUUUUUUUCUUUUUUUUAAAUAAACAGUGGUCUAUAUAACUUCA